UAGGGAAUCUUCCACAAUGGACGCAAGUCUGAUGGAGCAACGCCGCGUGAGUGAAGAAGGUUUUCGGAUCGUAAAGCUCUGUUGUUGGUGAAGAAGGAUAGAGGCAGUAACUGGUCUUUAUUUGACGGUAAUCAACCAGAAAGUCACGGCUAACUACGUGCCAGCAGCCGCGGUAAUACGUAGGUGGCAAGCGUUGUCCGGAUUUAUUGGGCGUAAAGCGAGCGCAGGCGGAAUGAUAAGUCUGAUGUGAAAGCCCACGGCUCAACCGUGGAACUGCAUCGGAAACUGUCAUUCUUGAGUGCAGAAGAGGAGAGUGGAAUUCCAUGUGUAGCGGUGGAAUGCGUAGAUAUAUGGAAGAACACCAGUGGCGAAGGCGGCUCUCUGGUCUACAACUGACGCUGAGGCUCGAAAGCAUGGGUAGCGAACAGG
rnacentral:rRNA from 1 species